UACGUAGGUGGCAAGCGUUGUCCGGAUUUAUUGGGCGUAAAGCGCGCGCAGGCGGUUCGAAAAGUCCAUGGUGAAAGCGCCCGGCUCAACUGGGCGAGUGCCGUGGGGACUGUCGAGCUGGAGGGAAGCAGAGGCGAGUGGAAUUCCGGGUGUAGUGGUGAAAUGCGUAGAGAUCCGGAGGAACGACCAGUGGCGAAGGCG
rnacentral:rRNA from 1 species